rnacentral:rRNA from 1 species
GUGGGGAAUCUUGCGCAAUGGGCGAAAGCCUGACGCAGCCAUGCCGCGUGAAUGAUGAAGGUCUUAGGAUUGUAAAAUUCUUUCACCGGGGACGAUAAUGACGGUACCCGGAGAAGAAGCCCCGGCUAACUUCGUGCCAGCAGCCGCGGUAAUACGAAGGGGGCUAGCGUUGCUCAGAAUUACUGGGCGUAAAGGGCGCGUAGGCGGACAGUUUAGUCAGAGGUGAAAGCCCAGGGCUCAACCUUGGAAUUGCCUUUGAUACUGGCUAUCUUGAGUAUGGAAGAGGUAUGUGGAACUCCGAGUGUAGAGGUGAAAUUCGUAGAUAUUCGGAAGAACACCAGUGGCGAAGGCGACAUACUGGUCCAUUACUGACGCUGAGGCUCGAAAGCGUGGGGAGCAAACAGGAUUAGAAACCCGGGUAGUCC